AUUGAACGCUGGCGGCAUGCCUUACACAUGCAAGUCGAACGGCAGCACGGGAGCAAUCCUGGUGGCGAGUGGCGAACGGGUGAGUAAUAUAUCGGAACGUGCCCGGUCGUGGGGAUAACGUAGCGAAAGCUACGCUAAUACCGCAUACGAUCUACGGAUGAAAGCGGGGGAUCGCAAGACCUCGCGCGAUUGGAGCGGCCGAUAUCAGAUUAGGUAGUUGGUGAGGUAAAGGCUCACCAAGCCGACGAUCUGUAGCUGGUCUGAGAGGACGACCAGCCACACUGGGACUGAGACA
rnacentral:rRNA from 1 species